CCUACGGGUGGCUGCAGUGAGGAAUAUUGGUCAAUGGCCGUAAGCCUGAACCAGCCAAGUCGCGUGAAGGAUGAAGGCCCUAUGGUUUGUAAACUUCUUUUAUAAGGGAAUAAAGGUAUCCACGUGUGGCUUUUUGCAUGUACCCUAUGAAUAAGCAUCGGCUAACUCCGUGCCAGCAGCCGCGGUAAUACGGAGGAUGCGAGCGUUAUCCGGAUUUAUUGGGUUUAAAGGGUGCGUAGGUUGUUUGUUAAGUCAGGUGUGAAAGUUUGUGGCUCAACCAUAAAAUUGCAAUUGAAACUGGCAGACUUGAGUAGAGUUGAGGUAGGCGGAAUGCGGGGGGUAGCGGUGAAAUGCUUAGAUAUCACGAAGAACUCCGAUGGCGAAGGCAGCUAACUAA
rnacentral:rRNA from 1 species